rnacentral:tRNA from 1 species
UGCGGGAUAGAGUAGUUGGCAGCUCGCUAGCCUCAUAAGCUAGAGGUCACAAGUUCGAGUCUUGUUCCUGCAACCA